rnacentral:rRNA from 2 species
CUCUAGCAGUAAUAAGCUUACAGAACAAUAAUAACAAAAGUAAAAACAACCCUGAAAAAACAAACCCACUAAAGCUCAAAAAUAAACUGGGAUUAGAUACCCCACUAUACGAGCCCUAAAAACCCCCACCAGAAAACUACAAACUAACAUUUAAAACUCAAAGGACUUGGCGGUUUUUUAGACCUUCCUGGAGGAGCUUGCUACCUAACCGAUAACCCACGAAAAACCUCACCAGCUUUCGAAAAUCCAGCAUGUAUACCAUCGUCGUCAGUCCACCUCUCAAGAGAAGUAUACUAAACGAAACAACUUCACAACGUCAGAUCGAGGUGCAGUCAAUAAGCUGGGGGUAAGUGAGCUACAAUAUUAACACAACACAAAACCAAUUAUGGAUAGUAUAGUGAAAUUUAUACCUGAAACAGGAUUCAGCAGUAAUACCCAAAAGAAAAUGGAUAUGAAACAACCAGCUCUAAAAUGCGC